GAUGAACGCUAGCUACAGGCUUAACACAUGCAAGUCGAGGGGAAACGACAUCGAAAGCUUGCUUUUGAUGGGCGUCGACCGGCGCACGGGUGAGUAACGCGUAUCCAACCUGCCCACCACUUGGGGAUAACCUUGCGAAAGUAAGACUAAUACCCAAUGAUAUCUCUAGAAGACAUCUGAAAGAGAUUAAAGAUUUAUCGGUGAUGGAUGGGGAUGCGUCUGAUUAGCUUGUUGGCGGGGUAACGGCCCACCAAGGCGACGAUCAGUAGGGGUUCUGAGAGGAAGGUCCCCCCACAUUGGAACUGAGACACGGUCCAAACUCCUACGGGAGGCAGCAGUGAGGAAUAUUGGUCAAUGGGCGAGAGCCUGAACCAGCCAAGUAGCGUGCAGGAUGACGGCCCUAUGGGUUGUAAACUGCUUUUAUAGGGAAUAAAGUGAGUCUCGUGAGACUUUUUGCAUGUACCUUAUGAAUAAGGACCGGCUAAUUCCGUGCCAGCAGCCG
rnacentral:rRNA from 1 species